rnacentral:lncRNA from 1 species
GUUUUAAUAUGGCAAGAAAAAUAAUAGAGUACCUGCAUAUUCAAAAUAGAAAGUCAAGUUCAAGAUCUUUAAGUGGAAAAUUGUCUCACUGGGAGAACAAUCUUAAUUUCCAUUUAAUCCCAAAUAUCUGUUAGUUGUUUAAGUUUGAAAAUAAGCUUGUCAAUUUUGCUGAAAAUAAUACAUUUUAUGUUCUGGUUGGCGAUUCUAAUGUGAGACCAAAGAUAGUCGGCAAUCAAUAUGGAGAAGGCCCAUCCUUUGUGCUUGUCUAUAUCUCAUCUCGUUGAAGAUGUUGAAGCAUGCCUAAAUUUUGGUGGAAUAACAAAAAGUCAGCGUAAAUCAAGUUAAGGAUUCUGAUGGUGUGCAAACAUCAAAGGAACAUCAUUCUAAUAGGAGAAGCAAUAGUGAUCUGCAUCUGGCUUUUAAUGGUGAAGAUAAGACAAAAUCUGCAUCAAUCUGACAGGCCUUUGACAAGGAUGGUGAUGUCGCUUUAAUGGGACUCACCUACAACACAAGGAAAGCCCACAUUAGAUCAUUUGGUGCCCCAUAUGGCAAAGAAGACAACACAGUCAUAUCAAUUGAUGAUUCCUAUGAUAAAGAAGACAUAAAAAUAAUUUCUUUUGAUGGUUUCCCAGAUGAAAAAGGAUGUUAACCCUGUGGGGAGGCCUGACAUAGACUUCAUUCAAUUUUUAUAAUCAAUCUUCAGUUCAUGUGUCAAUACCUUAUGAGAAAGAGAUAGAUGCUUCUAAUGUUGACUAAAUAAAGUUUAAAACCGUGUCCAAGAAUAAGCAAAAGUUCAAAACAACAUGCUUCAACUCAAUUAGUUAUAAGGUGUCGACCUCUUAUACACCACCCUGCACUGGUAAUGGAAUAGUAUUCAUUUUGUUGCAUGAGAAAUAAGAUAUUCAUCGCAAAACAGAAACGAUAAAUAGUGGUACCUGAGCAAUAUGCUUAACAGAGAUCAGUUUAAUCAUUACAAAUGAUGCAUACCAUCCUUGCUUUAGACCAGAAUAUUUCCAAGAGCCCUUCGGCAUCAUCAUCAAUAUAAAAGAGGGUAUCCAUGGGCAGCCCAACAUCAGAACAAAAAGGGAAAUCCAAUCAGGAAUGGACUAUCAGUUAAUAAAAGGCUGUAAAGAGAUGGCAUCAGGAAUGGCCUAUGCUGUUACAGAUUUCAAAUAAAAUCNNNNNNNNNNNNNNNNNNNNNNNNNNNNNNNNNNNNNNNNNNNNNNNNNNNNNNNNNNNNNNNNNNNNNNNNNNNNNNNNNNNNNNNNNNNNNNNNNNNNCAAUUUUUGUCCUACCCAAUUUCGCAGUCUCCUUGCAUCGGUUGACUCAUAAGAAUUUUCCCUGAUCAGUAGACAUUCAAUUUGUUAAGAGUUUAUCAUCUUGUAUGUUCAUUAUUUUUUUUUGUGUGCUCAUCAGACCGAUCAUAAGUCUUGUAAUGUUUAAAGUGCAAGCACGUUACCCAUGAUUAAGUUGAUCUAGGUAAUGAUUUUUAACACAAGCCUUAGACAAAAGAUGUGAAGAUCUUAAAUAUGAUUUUUAUGAAGAACUUGUAAUUCACAGAUUCCCUGAACUUUGUUUUAAAGAUUAGAUUAAGGAAUGAAUUCGUCUCACAGGAUUGUAAGAGUCAAAGCGUGAGUGCUCACAUUUUUAUAUGAAGGACAAUCUAUACCCGUCAAUCCUUGGUCUUAAUAUGGCAAGAAAAAUAAUAGAGUACCUGCAUAUUCAAAAUAGAAAGUCAAGUUCAAGAUCUUUAAGUGGAAAAUUGUCUCACUGGGAGAACAAUCCUAAUUUCCAUUUAAUCCCAAAUAUCUGUCAGUUGUUUAAGUUUGAAAAUAAGCUUGUUAGUUUUGCUGAAAAUAAUACAUUUUAUGUUCUGGUUUGCGAUUCUAAUGUGAGACCAAAGAUAGUCGGCAAUCAAUAUGGAGAAGGCCCAUCCUUUGUGCUUGUCUAUAUCUCAUCUCGUUGAAGAUGUUGAAGCAUGCCUAAAUUUUGGUGGAAUAACAAAAAGUCAGCGUAAAUCAAGUUAAGGAUUCUGAUGGUGUGCAAACAUCAAAGGAACAUCAUUCUAAUAGGAGAAGCAAUAGUGAUCUGCAUCUGGCUUUUAAUGGUGAAGAUAAGACAAAAUCUGCAUCAAUCUGACAGGCCUUUGACAAGGAUGGUGAUGUCGCUUUAAUGGGACUCACCUACAACACAAGGAAAGCCCACAUUAGAUCAUUUGGUGCCCCAUAUGGCAAAGAAGACAACACAGUCAUAUCAAUUGAUGAUUCCUAUGAUAAAGAAGACAUAAAAAUAAUUUCUUUUGAUGGUUUCCCAGAUGAAAAAGGAUGUUAACCCUGUGGGGAGGCCUGACAUAGACUUCAUUCAAUUUUUAUAAUCAAUCUUCAGUUCAUGUGUCAAUACCUUAUGAGAAAGAGAUAGAUGCUUCUAAUGUUGACUAAAUAAAGUUUAAAACCGUGUCCAAGAAUAAGCAAAAGUUCAAAACAACAUGCUUCAACUCAAUUAGUUAUAAGGUGUCGACCUCUUAUACACCACCCUGCACUGGUAAUGGAAUAGUAUCCAGUUUUUUACAUGAGAAAUAAGGUAUUCAUCGCAAAACAGAAACGAUAAAUAGUGGUACCUGAGCAAUAUGCUUAACAGAGAUCAGUUUAAUCAUUACAAAUGAUGCAUACCAUCCUUGCUUUAGACCAGAAUAUUUCCAAGAGCCCUUCGGCAUCAUCAUCAAUAUAAAAGAGGGUAUCCAUGGGCAGCCCAACAUCAGAACAAAAAGGGAAAUCAAUCAGGGAGUUAGGCCAAACACUAGAUAGAGGACAUUAAGCUAAUAAAAGGCUGUAAAGAGAUGGCAUCAGGAAUGGCCUAUGCUGUUACAUAUUUCAAAUAGAAUCAUUAAGCCAAUCCAGCCAUGGACUAUCAGUUAAUAAAAUCUCAUAGGACAGCACUAAGCAGAAGUAAUUCGAAAUUAUUAUCCUCCAGUUACACUUUGAGGCAUUAAUGCAAUGAUAUUAGAGGAAAAUAAAAUGCUAUCGACAGUAAGGGCAUCAAUCAACAAAAUUUCAAAAGGGCUGCACUAAACAGUUACAUUCUGAAGUAAUAACAGAGCAAUAAAGUAUGAAAUUCAAAUCAGUCGGGGGUUACAAAUCAGUGUAGAAAAACAGUAAGGUACUAAGGCAAAGGGAAAUACAAUCAGCCGUGAAUAAUAUCCAGAGAGCAGUUUAGAGCAUUAAUAUUUUAAUUACGGUCAUCAUUAGCAAAUUAUAAAUAGCUCGACAGUUAUCACAUAGUCCUAAUCAGCAUUCAUGGGCAGUUAAAGUAUUGAAAUCAGAAAGCAAAAUUCAUGGGAUUUCAAAAGGGGCAGUUUCAGUCAGUAACUCAAAAAAAGCAAAAAAAGCAAAAGAGAAAGAAUACAAAAAAGAAAGAAAAGCAUUGCAACAGUGAUAAAAAGAGAACAAAUCAGAAAAAUUAGAGAGGAUAACAAGUGAAAAACAUGGAGCAUUCUAGAGAGAAAGGCAGAAAUAUAAACAGAGAGACUGACAUUCAAGCAAAGUCAACUUGUUAUCCGAUGCAAACCGUAGUACGAGUAGUAACCAGAACCGGGAACCACCGUGAAGGUUCGGGUCCCGCCGAUGAAAACCGCACUCGAUCCUUUCCUCGCCCUUAAUAAGCCUCUACGAGGACAGGAAGUUAUAAAAAUGAUAAAAAAUGUAUAAUAAUAGAACAAAGAAGCAAAUGGAGAAGUAAGAGGAGACGAGUGAUGAAAACCAAAGAGAUUAGGAAGGAAUGAGGACCUUUUUUCGGCCGUGAAUGAGAACCGAACCACCGUAAGCCCCGAUGAUUCUUAAUCACCGCUAUCGCAACGCUUCAAGCCGAGUCAUCACCGAAGAAGAGAAAAGAGGGAGAUUUCGUUCGAUGCAUCUUGAAGAGAAAGGGAUUCUCUUCGUCGAUCCCCUCCAACACGGGCUGGAAGGCUUCCUCCAGCUAAAUCCGUGAGCCAUCGUGCUCCUCCGCGCCGAUGAAGGUGGAGCGAUGCAAGAAGGAGGAGUUGGCAAUUAGGGAUUUUAUUCCCAUUUCCCUUUCUGCUGGAUUCCAUGGGUUUGGGGGUGAAAGGGGUUCACCCCUUUUAAUUAUUCCCAUCUCAUUUAACUCCUUUUCUUUAUUUACUCUUUGGUUGAUUUUUUUUUAUUUUUCAUUAUUCCAUCUAUGCAAUUUAAAAUGAAAUGAACAUUAAUUUAUAUGCUGCAUAUCUCAUAACUUUUAUAAUGAUUGCGUAUUCCAACUUUAAGCAACAAGCUAUUUUAUCACUAAAUUCAACCAUCAAUUCCAUAUAAACUAUUUUAUUUAAUAAGACUAUUUUGCUACUAAACUCUAUAUGUAUAAAUAAUAAGAUACACCAACACCGUCUCUAAACUAUUAAUUCUAUAUGUAUAAUUAAUAAUCACCUAAAUUCUAUAUGUACGAAUAAUUAGAAACUAUAUUAUCAAAUUAAUCAUAGAAUUUUUAUAGUAAGGUUAUGGCUCGAGUUGUCUCUAACUUCUCUAAGAAUGAGAAGAAGGUCUACAACCAACACCGUCUCUAAACUAUUAAUUCUAUAUGUAUAAUUAAUAAGCUAUUUUAUUACUAAAAUCAUAUAUCUAUAAAUAAUUAGAAACUAUUAUACUAAAUAAAUUUUAUGGGUUUUUUAGUAAGGUUACGGCUAUUAAUCAUGUAUAUAGAAAAUAAUUCUCCGGCCUAUUUUGCUACCUAAUUCUAAAAAUAACCCAAUAUUAUUUUAGCGAAUAAAUUGGGAUUUUUAUAGUGAGGUUACGGUUCGAGUCGUCUCUAACUCCCUGGAAAUAAGGAGAAGGUCUACGACCAACACCGUUCCUGAACUAUUAGUCUCAUUGAACCAAAAAAAUUAUAUAUUAACAAACUCAAUAAGCUAAUACCUCUAAAACCUAUCGGUAUUUUCCAAAUCAUUAACAAUCAACCAAAGUAGAAGCAAUUAUUUGAAAUAGAACUACGUAAGCCUUGAUCCCCUUAAUAGGGGUACGUAGGACCAAAGUCAAUAUUGUCAGGCUCAAUAAUAAAGAUAAAUAAUUCUAAAUAAAUAAUUGUUAAGGGUAUAAAAGUCUAUGUUAUUAGCGAAUACGGGCGGACGGGGUGCUAAUACCUUCCCCGAUCUGUAAUCGACUCCCGAAUUCAGAAUCUCUAUCUAAAGACCAUUUUAUCCUAAUUGGGCUUACUAUAGAGUUUUCUACGUUUUAACCGCAAAAAACGUAGUGGCGACUCCAAAUCAAUUGGGAGAGGUAGAAAUCGGGUUCACUUCUCUCCAAGUCGUAGAGCCGGUCUUCCAACCGAAAAGCGGGUCGCGACAGUUGGCGACUCCACUGGGGACAUCCUAUAAGAGAGUCAGGCCUUGAACCGCUAAUAACAAGAACUCAAGUACCCUUUUAUUUUUUGUUUGAGUCUUGUUUUUCUUAGGAAUGAAUUAUUAUCUUGAAUUACCUUUGUUGUAUGAUAUGCGAGUUCACGUGUUUGUUUUGCAGCUUAUUGGGGGGUGGGGAACUUCCUACAAAAGGUUUGUAUGCUUCCUCACACACUCACGAGAGUCAACAUGUACCUAUACCCUGAGCCCGGGUAUUAGUGAUUAAGAUCUAAGAUAGAAGGGACAUCUGCUUUGCCGGUAAGUGACCUCGAGUCGCAUCUGGUAUUGGUGGAAUGAACCACCCAGAUCGUUUCUGGUAUUAUGAGUUAAAGGCUUGGAGGGCUCGAUCCUUCUCAUUUUUAACCUAUGAUACCUGGUCUCCUUAAUUUCGGGAUUGGGUGCGAUCUGGUGACCUAGAAGUCUAGAGCUUUACCAAGUCCACUCUAAACAAAAUCUAGUAUCCUCACCUUAGGACGUAACCUAUAAACAUUCCAAGAAUCCCUUGUAAGACGUACCUUAUUUAGGACACAGGAAGCAAACAAUUUCUACUCUUUAUUAUUUACAAUCAUAAAAGUGGGGCGUAGGCCGUAAAUGGCCAGUUCCUUCAACAUCCCCACCAGAGGGCCCAAUGCCCUACGGGAUGCAUUUCAUACACACCCGUUGAUGGGUGCAAACACCCUAAAGACGUAAUUUAUGUUAUAUCAGACUAAUCGAGGUUAUUUCAUUUAAUCCCAUGCUGCAAUUAGUCCCAUUAAUGCGCUCGAGGCCCUAGGGACAAGUUUAUAUCACCAUGUUAUGAAAACAUAAUAUAAUAAAAUCAAGAUUUUACUGCCCCCAUAUAAGGACCAGCAUCCUAGGGGGUAUACAUCAUGCACAUCAUUCAUUCAUGCAUUCAUCCAUGCAUUCUUUAUCUCAUUUAUUUAACACCUUUACGAUUGUCACGCCUUUUGCAGAUUACUUUGUCGAAGAGAAACUGGUAUAGUAAGACAUGGAGACUGAUUCUCAAGUUGUGGGUUCUGUCAGCACUCUAUCAGUGAAAAAAGGAGUGAGGGUAGAAUUACAAGUUAUGGAUGUAAGCUUCCUAGCAGAUCUUGUCCCCAAGAUCCCUCAAGAGGUUCAAGACCAGCUGGCAAGAGAAUAUGGAAGGUUGUCUGACUUGGUCCUCAUCACGGUUGAUAUAGAAACAUUAAAGGGCAUGAAAGACAUGAUCCAGUACUGGAACACUGCUCUACACAUCUUCGAAUUCCCAAAUAUUGAUGCAUCCCCGACUGUGGAGGAGUAUGAGGUCCUACUCGAUAUCGGCUCUUCCAUCACAGAUAUCGAGCUAUCAAACAGGCUAAAGCUGUAUCAGUAUAACGGUACUCAGAAUGUUACAGAAGAGUAUAUCGAGGGGCUGAUCGGGAUGCAUCCCUUGUUCUGGGCAGAGUUACGGCUUUCUGUUUUUGCUUCGAAUGAUAUGGGGCCUAGGUUGCCCAAUAUUUGGGGUCUUUGCAAUGAAAAAACAUCUUGCCGAAAUGGUGGAACAAGGAAAUUGGGAGCUAUUCAAACCCGCUUUUGCUCUAGCAGUAUAUGGUAUGGUCCUAUUCCCUUUCGUUUAUGAUAUGGUAGACCAAGCGACGAUCGAUGUCUUCGCCAAAGUCAAGAGGUUCAGAGUUAACCCCGUUCCAGCAAUAGUCGCAUAAAUUCUCUUAUCUUUCCAAAGGUGUCAUGAAAAAGGCUACCACAAGGUCCGUUGUUGUGUACAUUUACUCUAUGUGUGGAUGAUUACUCGGUUUGCGCAUCACCAAUAUCCAGAUUGGAGCAGGUACCCCCUGCGCCGGUUCAGAAAUAUUGCAAUUAAACCUAUGCAACUGGCGGAUUGGAAGAAACUGUUCAAAGAGGUAACCCCUAGGAAUUUUGGAACAAAGUGUUGCUUAUAUGACAAACAUCAGGCAGUGAUGUACUCAUGUGGAGACUUUCCGAACAUGAUGUUGAUGGGCCCCCGAGGAUGCAUCUCUUUCACCCCAGCCUCAGUACUGGGACAACUGAAAUGGGGGAUGAAUCCGGUACCUCAAGAAAAGUUGCAGGGGAUCACAGUCUGGUAUAGGGACGAGGGAACUACCCGAGAAGUUCUCACAUCUGUUGGGAACGCUCUGAGGAGUAUCCGUCUCUGUGGGAAGAAUGAGCUUGGAGAACACCAAGCCUAUUACACUGAAGAGUACAAAUGCUGGAGGAAUGAAAGGACGAAAUAUGUUAUGUUGCCACCAUCUGAGUCAUCAAAAGAACCGAUCGGGCCAUCCCAUAACGAACUACUACUCGUUAGUCAGAACAAACUUCUGGAAUCAGAGUUGGAAGAGGCCCGAGAUGAAGUAGAGAAAUAAAAAUUGAUGGUGGAGAAGCUUAACAAACCAUCGCUGCACAGAAGAAGGAGGAAGUCAGCUUGAAGCGAGACUAUGCCAGCAUGUGCUCUUCAUCCGACAAAUUCCGCCUGAUCCGAGCUGGCAAAGAAAAAGACAAAAAAAUAACAGAAUUGAUCAGGUCAGAGAAAGAAAAAGAUGAACAGAUAGCCGACAUGGUUGAUCAACUGAAGGCUCGAGGGCGAGCCCUACAUACUACUUAAAGGGAUGUUCACAUGCUGAAAGCAAAAAUAGAGAAUAUGCAUGCCAACCGAAGAGAUGGGAGCCAAACGGGGGCUAUCUUAAAAGAGUAUCAGGAAGCCUUGAUGCGAGCCAGGGAAAGAGAGGAUCAACUGAAUGUUGCGUUGGAUGCUCGUUUCCAAGCAUUGGCUGAAGCAAAUCACGAUAAAACCCAUCUUUCUGAACGAAUGAAGGACCUUGAGGAAGCCUACAAUGAGUUAAAUGCCAAACAUCAUGAGUGGUCACACAACUGGGAGAAUAUGCUCCAGGAGUGUAAAUGGGACAAGGAGAAAUGGGAAGGAAGAUGCAGGCAAAUCAUCGAGGGUCUUGGGGACUUUGCUGAUGAUUGGUUGAGAAACUUUGAUGAUGCCCGCCAGGAGGUGGAAAUGUACCCUGAUACNNNNNNNNNNNNNNNNNNNNNNNNNNNNNNNNNNNNNNNNNNNNNNNNNNNNNNNNNNNNNNNNNNNNNNNNNNNNNNNNNNNNNNNNNNNNNNNNNNNNUGCUGCAUCUGGAGAAUAUUGAGCAUUUUAUGUUUUUCUUCUCCUUUGUUAAAAAUAAAAAGAAAGAGAGAAUCAUAAAGGAAAAUUGUAGUCCUACUAUGAAUAUGAAUAAAAAAUUUCUCCUUUUCUCAGAGUUUAUCCAAGUUGUUAUCUAUACAAGUAUCAUAAGGGCUCAUCAUCUUAUCUAAUAUGCAAGUAAAAAAUUCGUGACAGAGUAAAAACAUCUUGUAAUUAGACACAAUCUUGGUCUGAAGCCUAGAGUUUCUUCUAACGAUUGGUAUCAAAUGUAAACGGUCUUGCGGACUACGCUCCCAAGAUUACCAAAUACAUGACAAGAUGUUUAAUGAUAGUGAUCCACAAUGAGAGAAUAAGCCUAGAUGUAAGCAAGGUCCGAAGCCUAGAGCUUCCUCUGAGUAUUGUUAUCAACACAAGAGAAACUAUUGGGGUGCGCCUCGUAGUCAGCAAAUGCCGGUCAAGAUGUCUUACUAUACCAAGCCUCUCGAAGACAAAGAAAUCAUUUUGCUUUCAUUUUUAUCAUUUAUUUUUCAAAUUUUUAUUUUUCAAAAAUUUAUUUUUCAAAUUUUUAUUUUUCCAAUAACUCAGGUUCUGUAAUCAUUGCACACCAACAUCCUUACAAUACCCGAUCAAAAACAAAGACCAUGGCCGACCAGGAAGCUACUACUGGAGGGAAUCCCGAGGUGAUUGAGCUGAAAGAGCAAAUAGCACUGAUGAUGAGAAUGAUGGUAGCCAUGCAGCAAGAAAUGGCAUCUGGGAAUUCUUCUGUAGCAGAUAAGCGGGCCCAAUCCGCACGUAAUGCCAAUGAAGGGGGGCACAACCAACAGUCUGCCUCUAAGCAUUAGGGUGCAUCACAAGGACAUACCUCGUCAAACAAAGAGAACUCACAACACACCAACCAACAUGACUCGGAUGACGAUCCUAACUACCACGCUCCCAAGAAUGAUAAAAGCACUGCAGGACAUCAAGCUAGUAAAGACACAAACGCGAUGAUAAAGGGAAGGGGAAGGAGGAUGAAAUGUGGGACGUCAUUAAUGAAAGGCUUAAAGCUGUGGAAGGGGCUAACUGUCCCGAUUUAAAGAACGCUUUUGAAAUGUGUCUGGUCCCAGAUGUCGUUCUUCCUCCUAAGUUCAAGGUUCUCGAAUUCGAAAAGUAUGACGGGACUACAUGCCCGAAAAGCCAUCUUCAUAUGUACGCCCGGAAAAUGUCAGCGUACCAUAAUGAUGAUAAGCUGCUGAUUCAUUGCUUUCAAGAUAGCCUUGUGGGGAUCGCCACUUUGUGGUACAUCCGCCUCGAAAGCAAGCACAUUAAGACCUUCCUGGAUCUUUCCAAUGCCUUCAUAAGGCAGUACAAAUUCAAUGAGGACUCUGCGCCGGACCGCAACAAGCUUCAAAGCAUGUCGAAACCGGCAAGUGAAUCAUUCAGGGAAUAUGCACAGAGAUGGAGAGGAGUGGCCUCACAAGUCUUACCCCGUCUGGAGGAAGAAGAGCAGAUCACUAUCUUCAUCAAUACUCUCCCUAACCCUUUCUUCGACAAGAUGAUUGGGAAUAAUACAUGUGAUUUCAAUUCAUUGAUUAGAGUAGGAGACAGAAUUGAGCAAAACAUGAAAACUGGAAAGAUUGCCGCCGAACAAACCGGAGAGCCCAAAAGGCCCAACUACAUGAAAAAAAGAAACUGAAGCCCACUACAUAGCCGGAGAACCCCAAAAGAUGUCAAACAAGAUAAACAACAAUCCCUGUUCAUAUACACACCGCCCUCAACACAACCAAACACCAUACCAACCGAGCUCGCAAAACACAUACCAGAUCCCAUACCAACCAAUAGCCUACAUUAACCACAACCGCCCACCACUUCAACAAAACACAACCUUUCAAUACAACCAACCACAACCAAACCUCUAUCAACCCCGACCACCUAGGCCCAACUAUCAACCAAAUAACCAAGCCCAAAACCAUCAUCCACCCGCGCAAUACCAAACUCAGGAAAGAAGGACUUUCGACCCUAUCCCUAUGACCUAUGCCGAACUAUUCGCCACCUUACAAACAGAGCGCAUCCUAGCACCCAUUCUAGGAAGAGUCCCAAAUACUAUGGCCGCAUGGUACAACCCCAAUGUCAAUUGUGCUUACCAUUCGGGAGUAGUGGGGCAUUCAAUCGAAACUUGUAAGGCAUUAAAACACAGAGUGCAGGAUCUUAUCGAUUCCGGAUGAUUGAAAUUCAAAGACGAUGUUCCCACCAUCACAAACAACCCUUUGCCCAAUCAUGGGAACCAGGGGGUGAAUGUCUUAGAGUGGGAUGAGGCAGACACUAUUAUUGACAGGGUGGAAGACAUAAAGACACCCCUAAAGAUCAUAUUUUUGGAGAUGUGCAAAAGAGGUCUGGUGAAGUGUACGCAAGAUGGUCAACAUGAAGGUGACGUUUGCAUGCUACAUGGGACUACAUACCAUAACAUAGAAGAAUGUUCCAAGUUCAGGUCAUUGAUACAAGAAUUAUUGGACUCCCAGUUGUUGAGGAUCGGGAGGCGAAAUGAAUGUUCUGACAUAUGUGUCAUUGAAAAAGACGAGGAAAGUCCGAGUCCGGUCAUUAUAAGGUAGUUUGUACCAGUAUUCAACAUACCUACUAGCACACCAUCAUAUGCAGCUCCGCCCCGAUGGGCGCCUCAUUUGAGAAAUAUGGGACAUGAGAUAGCAAGACAACCGAGCCCAUUCCCAUAUCAAUCAGACAGAGCCGUCCCUUGGAAGUAUCGAGAGGAAGCCGGAAAAAUGCCAGUUCCAACAAAUGAAGUUGUCCACUUGGCCGGGGUGGGAAAUAUGACAAGGAGCGGAAGGGUUUAUAGCCCCGUUGAGAUAGCCAGUAAAGUCAUCAAUGCGUCUAAAGGCAAAGAAAAAGUUGAUAAGCCAGUAGAUACCAGUUCUGGAGCGGCCCGGGUUGAGAUCCCUCCAUUUGAUGUUGAAAGAGAAGUCACAGAUGAUGAAGCUUGUGAGUUCUUAUGAUUCAUCGGGCAAAGCGAGUAUCAAAUAGUUGACCAGUUGAGUCGCACUCCAGCCAAGGUAUCAUUGUUGUCUUUACUGAUGAAUUCAGAAGCUCACAGAAAGGUCCUACUGAAAGUGCUGAACCAGGCCCAUGUCGACCAUGAUAUAAGUACUAGCAAAUUAGAUGGUAUCGUCAAUAAUAUCAUGGUCGAUAACUUUAUCUCCUUCAGCAAUGAGGAAAUACCGAGUGAAGGAACAGGGCACACCCGUCCUCUCCACAUCUCCAUCAUGUACACAGAUUUUGUAAUAGGAAGGGUGUUGAUAGACAAUGGUGCAUCGCUCAAUGUGAUAACCAAGAGAACAUCGUCUAAAUUACGAGUGGACGAGUCAGCCAUAAAACCAAGUUCAACAGUUGUUCGAGCCUUCGAUGGAGCCCGAAGGGAUGUGCUGGGAGAAAUCGAGCUACCUGUGAAGAUUGGGCCGUGUACUUUCCAGAUCCUAUUUCAGUUCAUGGAUAUCAAUCCGUCGUUCAGCUGUCUAUUGGGAAGGCCAUGGAUCCAUUUCAUCGACGCUAUACCUUCCUCAUUGCAUCAAAAGGUGAAGUUUAUCGCGGGGGGCAAGUUGAUAACCAUCAUGGGUGAAGAAGACAUUCUGGUGUCUCAGCUUAGUGAUACCCCAUACAUAGAAGCUGACACUGAAGCUUUAGAGUCUUCUUUCCGGGCGUUAGAGAUUGCAAGUGCUUCUUCCAAUAGGAGAGGACAUCCUAAACUCAAUCUGCCACCCUCUAAUGUCUCCAUUAACAUGGCGAGGGUCAUGCUAAAGAAAGGAUUCCAGCCAGGAAAAGGUUUAGGGAGAUAUGGUCAGGGAAUUGAAAACACCACAACCCUCCCAAUUAAUAAUGGUCGAUAUGGAUUGGGCUAUAAACCCAGCAAAGCUGAUGAGGACCGACUGGCAGAGGAAAAGAAGAGGAGUACUACUCGUGCGGGGCGUUACAGAAAUGAUAGCAGAAGGAUUCCCAUCCCCCACAUCAGUCAGAGUUUUGUGAGUGCAGGCUUCCCAGAACAGAAACUGAUUGCAAUGAUGAGUGAAGACCAGCCAGAUGAUGAUUUCAGUCAGGUGUACUAGUGCCCUCCAGGCAUGAUCUUGGACAAUUGGACCAUAAAGGAUGUUGCUAGCUGUAUUUAUGGGCCAAUGUAAUUAAAAAUGUUUUAACAUUUAUAAACUUUUUUGGUCACCAUUUGCCUAGCCCUGGGCAUUUGGAUCUCGUGUUAAUAAGGGCAUGUUUUUACUUUCAUCAGUGUGAUUUCUAAUAAAACAAACCAUCGCAUUUCAUUCCAUUUCUUGAACAAUUUUAUAUUGCACUUUCUGCCUAAACAAAUCAAUAAAUUAACCUGAUAUAAACCAAUAAACCAUAAUGCAGAUCUGACAUCGAAUCUAUAUCUAAUGCCAUCAUUAACAAUCACUUGCCAAAUUUUGAUCACCCGAUAAAUCAAGCAGAGGGAUGUGACAGUGACGAAGGCUGCGAAGCGUCACCGGAAUUGCGGAGAUUAGUCAAACAAGAAGGCCAAGAAAUUCAGCCUCAUGGGGAACCCGUCGAGUUGGUGAAUCUAGGUUCAGAGGAAGAAAAGAAGGAGGUUCGGAUAGGCACAAUCAUGGAUAGCACUGAGCAAGAAAAACUCAUUGCGCUUCUACAUGAAUACAAGGAUGUAUUCGCUUGGUCAUAUGAGGAGAUGCCAGGUCUAGAUCGGAAUUUAGUGGAACACAAACUACCGCUACAAGAAGACUCUAAACCGGUAAAACAAAAACUACGAAGGAUGAGGCCAGACAUAUCCUUAAGAGUCAAAGAGGAAGUGGAAAAAUGGUUGGAAGCCAAAUUCGUGACAGUCUCUACAUACCCCAAAUGGGUGGCCAACAUAGUUGCAGUGCCAAAGAAAGGAGGGAAACUCCGGAUAUGUGUUGACUAUAGAGACCUUAAUCGGGCAAGUCCAAAGGAUGACUUCCCUGUGCCACACCUCGAUGUUCUAGUCGAUAGUACAGCCGAUCAUGCUUUAUUCUCAUUCAUGGACGGAUACUCCGGGUACCACCAGAUUAAGAUGGCUCCGGAAGAUAUAGAUAAAACAACCUUCAUUACCCCAUGGGGUACCUUCCGCUAUCUCGUGAUGCCAUUCGGGUUAAAAAAUGCUAUGGCCACCUAUCAAAGGGCCAUGAUUGCCAUUUUUCAUGAUAUGAUGCACAAGGAGAUCGAGGUCUAUGUCGACGAUAUCAUUUGCAAAUCCAAAUCGGAAGAGGAGCAUGUCCCCAAUCUGCGAAAGCUCUUUGAGAGGUUACGAAAGUAUCAGCUCAAAUUGAACCCAGCUAAAUGCAGCUUCGGAGUGAAAUCUGGCAAAGUCUUGGGCUUCAUUGUUAGUCAGAAAGGCAUAGAGGUUGAUCCUGAAAAAAUCAGAGCCAUCGCCGAGAUGCUAGCCCCUAAGACAGAGAAAGAAGUUAGAGGAUUCUUGGGUCGUCUGAACUACAUCUCCCGGUUUAUCUCUCAACUAACUGCAAUUUGUGAACCCAUAUUCAAGUUAUUAAGGAAGAAUCAAGCGGUGACAUGGAAUGAAGACUGCCAAACAACUUUCGAAAAAAUCAAGCAAUACUUGGACAGAACCUCCGAUAUUGAUGCCUCCAGUCCCAGGUCGACCCCUAAUCCUGUAUCUAACAGUGCUGGAUGAGUCCAUGGGUUGUAUUCUAGGACAACAUGAUUACUUAGGGAAGAAAGAGCAGAUCAUUUAUUACCUGAGCAAGAAAUUCACUGAUUGUGAGAAGAGGUAUUCUCUGCUGGAACGCACUUGUUGUGCCUUGGCAAGGGAUCGUAAUACAUGUUGAGCCACACUACUUGGUUGGUAUCUAAAAUGGAUCCAAUUAAAUACAUAUUUGAGAAGCCUAUUAUGACGGGGAGAAUUGCCAGAUGGCAGGUGCUUCUAUCCGAGUAUGAUAUCGUGUAUGUCACCCAGAAGGCAAUAAAAGGAAGUGUCCUCGCCGAUUACCUUGCCAGCCAACCGGUAGACAAAGGGGAUUUGAUUAAUGAGGAAUUCCCUGAUGAAGGGAUUAUGAUGAUAUCUCUAGGCAUGGAAACAGAAGGAGAUAGAUGGACUCUUGUGUUUGACGGGGCUUCCAAUAUACUCGGACACGGAAUAGGGGCAGUAUUGAUCUCCCCGGAGAAUAAAUUCAUCCCGAUUACUGCUCGACUAUGCUUUGACUGCACCAACAACAUCACGGAGUAUGAGGCAUGUGUCUUGGGUUUGGAGGCGGCCUUGGAGUCAAGAAUUAAAUCCAUAGAAGUAUUCGGAGACUCUGCUCUAGUGAUUCAUCAAGUAAAAGGGGAAUGGGAGACCAGAGAUUCUAAGUUGAUACCAUAUAGAGAUCAUAUCCAAAAGUUGAUCGAUCGAUUCGAGGAAAUAGACUUUUACCAUAUCCCAAGGGAAGAUAAUCGGUUGGCUGAUGCUUUGGCAACUUUGUCCUCCAUGUUCCAGAUAGGUGAAAAGGAAAUGCUAGUUAUCAGAAUAGCAAGCAAAGAUCAGCCUGCAUACUGCUAUGAGUAAAGAGUAUCAUGACAUAAUGACAUACCUCAAGAGCAAAGAGUAUCCUUCCGAGGCCACGGAAAAUGAUAAAAGGACUCUACGAAGGUUAGUUAUGGGCUUCUUUCUAAACGAAAACGUGUUGUACAAAAGAAACCAUGACAUGAUGCUACUGAGGUGUGUGGAAGCCAAGGAAGCAGAGAAGAUCAUCCAGGAAAUACAUGAAGGAAUGUUUGGGACCCAUACGAAUGGGCACUCAAUGGCUCGGAAAAUCCUGAGAACAGGCUAUUUCUGGUUAACAAUGGAAAGUGAUUGUUGCGAUCAUGUACGAAAAAGUCACAAAUGCCAGAUUUAUGCUGAUAAUAUUAAUGCAUCUCCCAGCCUGCUAAAUGUUAUGUCUUCCCCAUGGUCGUUUUCUAUGUGGGGUAUGGACGUUAUCAGUCCGAUCGAACCAAAGGCUUCCAACGGUCACCGCUUCAUCUUGGUUGCAAUCGACUAUUUCACCAAGUGGGUCGAGGCGAACUCAUACGCAAGCGUAACUCGUAACGUGGUACUCAAGUUUAUAAAAAAGGAGUUGAUUUGCCGCUAUGGUUUGCCUCAGAAAAUUAUCACAGAUAAUGCUACCAAUCUCAACAACAAGAUGAUGACGGAGAUGUGUGAGGAAUUCAAAAUCAAACAUCACACUUCUUCGCCUUACAGACCUAAGAUGAACGGGGCAGUGGAGGCAGCAAAUAAAAAUAUAAAGAAGAUAGUCCAGAAAAUGAUGGUGACCUACAGAGAUUGGCAUGAUAUAUUACCAUAUGCACUUCAUGGUUAUCGGACUUCUGUCCGCACAUCAACUGGGGCAACACCCUACUCGCUGGUUUAUGGGGUGGAAGCAGUGCUGCCGAUAGAAGUCGAAAUCCCGUCACUAGGAGUGCUCGCUGAAGCUGAAUUAGAAGAGGCAGAAUGGGUCCAAGCUCGACAUGGUCAGUUGAAUCUUAUUGAAGGGAAGAGGUUGGCAGCCAUAUGUCAUGGUCAAUUAUACCAGAGGAGGAUCAUGAGGGCACAUGCUAAGAAGGUACGCCCUCGAGCAUUCCGGGAAGGUGACUAGUACUGAAGAAGAUUUUACCUAUUCAGAAGGAUCACCGGGGAAAAUGGACACCCAAUUACGAAGGCCCGUAAGUGGUAAUGAAAGCGUUCUCAGGGGGAGCUCUCAUUCUGACCAACAUGGACGGAGAAGACCUUCGUCUCUCCGUAAACUCUGAUGCAGUGAAGAAGUACUAUGCUUGAGGCGACUUCCUAAAAAAAAAGAUGAAAAAAAAGAAAAAAACAAAAAAGAAGGAGAAAAAGAAACUCAAUUUCUUAGGAAUAUUAAUGUAAUGAACACGAUCGUUAUUUAUAAAAUUGCAUACAUGUUUUAAGCGAAAAUGGAGAAUGAUGUAGACAAAUUCCCUAAAGGUGUGAAUUCUCGAAUAAAUGUUUCCGAUGACACAAGGCUUCUUUGUAACUCCUAAACACUUAUGAAGAUAUCCCUAGUCACCCUAUUUUAGCCCAGACUUUAUGAAGAAUGAUCAAAAUAAAAACCCUAAAAAGACAUUAAUAACCGGGGAAGGGUAGUUUUUCCAAUAUUUCCUAUAAUUCAAAAGAACAAUGCUUCAAAUCAAGUAGUGAGAAUCUAGAAAUCUCAAAGUAGAAGAAAAAUGAGAAAGGUCCGCUAAGAUACUCAAGAGAUCUUAGGCAAAAAUUAGGACAAAAACACAUCAGAUCCUCACUUGUCAAUACUAAAACGAAGCAAUAAAAUCACGAGAGGAAUCAUUGGAAAUAGGAUAUCGGAGAAAAGGAGAUGUAGUGGGAAGGGAAACACAAUUUGAGCCUUAAUAUCCAUUUUUUUGUAAGCCAUUUAACCAGGCCACGAUUCAAGCCCAAAAAGUCCUUGUUGAGGAAUAAUUUGUUUGGAACCAUGCUAGGGUAAAAAGCAAACUGACUCCAGAAGGAAACGUUUUAAGUGCACUCAUAUUUUGUAAACCAAAACUCGCACAAAGUGAUAAUUACGUUAAUAUUUCUAAAAAAUAAAAAGAAAAAGAACAUCCUGGUAGGUCGAAAACCUGAAAGGGCGGCCUAGGCAAAAGUUAGGGAUUAUCAUUAAAGAAAGUCGUUCUCAAUCGGAAGAAUGAUCACUCAGGAAGACAUCAAAGUAAGAUACUGGGGGCAGGUUCAUUGGAUGAGUAGUCUCACCCANNNNNNNNNNNNNNNNNNNNNNNNNNNNNNNNNNNNNNNNNNNNNNNNNNNNNNNNNNNNNNNNNNNNNNNNNNNNNNNNNNNNNNNNNNNNNNNNNNNNAAAAAAAACUCGUUCAAAUCUAUACCUCCACAUGUUAAUAUAAAGUCAUACCUUGUUCAUUAUCCCUCAUAUAUUAAUGCAUGAGUUGUUUUUGUGAAAAUACACUGAUGAAUAAUAAUAUGACCUUUUGCGAUAAUUAAUCAGAACAAGUAAUCGAGCAGCAUGGCCAUCCGUAAAGAAGAGCUGAAAUCAUGUCAAUAUAAAGCUUUAUUACUAGAGCUUCCACACCAAAUGAAAUUGGAACUUCAGAUUGUAAGGAUGCUCAAAAUCAAAUUCAAUGAUAACGGACUUGUAAAAUGAAAACAAUCAAGAUUUUCUCAAUAAAUGAUUCAAACAUUACAAGCAAAAAACCACACAUCAUGCAUUGCAUAUUCACAAACUAAAAAACAUCUGCAUUUACUUUUAUUGUCUCGAGUUCCGGCAGUACCUGACCAGCGUUCUCGCAAGUACUUUUAUUGUCUCGAGUUCCGGCAGUACCUGACCAGCGUUCUCGCAAGUACUUUUAUUGUCUCGAGUUCCGGCAGUACCUGACCAGCGUUCUCGCAAGUACUUUUAUUGUCUCGAGUUCCGGCAGUACCCGACCUGCGUUCUCGCAUUUACUUUUAUUGUCUCGAGUUCCGGCAGUACCCGACCUGCGUUCUCGCAUCUACUUUUAUUGUUCCGAGUUCCGGCAGUACCCGACCUGCGUUCUCGCAUUUACUUUCAUUGUCUCGAGUUCCGGGAGUACCCGACCUGUGACCUGCGUUCUCGCAGUUACUUUUAUUGUCUCGAGUUCCGGCAGUACCCGACCUGCGUUCUCGCAUUUACUUUCAUUGUCUCGAGUUGUGGUAGUACCCGACCUGCGUUCUCGCAUUUACUUUCAUUGUCUCGAGUUCCGGGAGUACCCGACCUGUGUUCUCGCAUUUACUUUUAUUGUCCCGAGUUCCGGCAGUACCCGACCUGCGUUCUCGCAUUUACUUUUAUUGUCCCGAGUUCCGGCAGUACCCGGCCUGCGUUCUCGCAUUUAUCUUUUUAUUAUUUCGAGUUCCAGCAGCAUCCGACCUGCGUCCUCGCAUUACCUUUUGUUAUUAUCAAGUUCCAGCAGUACCCAACCUGCGUUCUCACUUUACCAAUUAUCUCUAUCUCACUUAAGGUUGUAUAGUUUCUUUCGCCCAUUUGUACCAAAAUUGACGUUCAUUUCUUUACUAACUGCUUACAGAAAUAGCAACCAAUCCUCAGUUUGUCUACUACUUAGUAAGCAAUGAGUAAAGAGGGGCAGUUGUGAACACUCAAUUUUUGUCCUACCCAAUUUCACAGUCUCCUUGCAUCGGUUGACUCAUAAGAGUUUCCCUGAUCAGUAGACAUUCAAUUUGUUAAGAGUUUAUCAUCUUGUAUGUUCAUUAUUAUUUUUUUGUGUGUGCUCAUCAGACCGAUCAUAAGUCUUGUAAUGUUGAAAGUGCAAGCACGUUACCCAUGAUUAAGUUGAUAUAGGUAAUGAUUUUUAACACAAGCCUUAGACAAAAGAUGUGAAGAUCUUAAAUAUGAUUUUUAUGAAGAACUUGUAAUUCACAGAUUCCCUGAACUUUGUUUUAAAGAUUAGAUUAAGGAAUGAAUUCGUCUCACAGGAUUGUAAGAGUCAAAGCGUGAGUGCUCACAUUUUUAUAUGAAGGACAAUCUAUACCCGUCAAUCCUUGGUCUUAAUAUGGCAAGAAAAAUAAUAGAGUACCUGCAUAUUCAAAAUAGAAAGUGAAGUUCAAGAUCUUUAAGUGGAAAAUUGUCUCACUGGGAGAACAAUCCUAAUUUCCAUUUAAUCCCAAAUAUCUGUCAGUUGUUUAAGUUUGAAAAUAAGCAUGUCAAUUUUGCUGAAAAUAAUACAUUUUAUGUUCUGGUUGGCGAUUCUAAUGUGAGACCAAAGAUAGUCGGCAAUCAAUAUGGAGAAGGCCCAUCCUUUGUGCUUGUCUNNNNNNNNNNNNNNNNNNNNNNNNNNNNNNNNNNNNNNNNNNNNNNNNNNNNNNNNNNNNNNNNNNNNNNNNNNNNNNNNNNNNNNNNNNNNNNNNNNNNUUCAUUCAAUUUUUAUAAUCAAUCUUCAGUUCAUGUGUCAAUACCUUAUGAGAAAGAGAUAGAUGCUUCUAAUGUUGACUAAAUAAAGUUUAAAACCGUGUCCAAGAAUAAGCAAAAUUUCAAAACAACAUGCUUCAACUCAAUUACUUAUAAGGUGUCGACCUCUUAUACACCACCCUGCACUGGUAAUGGAAUAGUAUCCAGUUUUUUACAUGAGAAAUAAGGUAUUCAUCGCAAAACAGAAACGAUAAAUAGUGGUACCUGAGCAAUAUGCUUAACAAGGAUCAGUUUAAUCAUUACAAAUGAUGCAUACCAUCCUUGCUUUAGACCAUAAUAUUUCCAAGAGCCCUUCGGCAUCAUCAUCAAUAUAGAAGAGGGUAUCCAUGGGCAGUCCGACAUCAGAACAAAAGGGAAAUUAAUCAGGGAGUUAGGCCAAACACUAGAUAGAGGACAUUAAGCUAAUAAAAGGCUGUAAAGAGAUGGCAUCAGGAAUGGCCUAUGCUGUUACAGAUUUCAAAUAAAAUCAUUAAGCCAACCCAGCCAUGGACUAUCAGUUAAUAAAAUCUCAUAGGACAGCACUAAGCAGAAGUAAUACGAAAUUAUUAUCCUCCAGUUACACUUUGAGGCAUUAAUGCAAUGAUAUUAGAGGAAAAUAAAAUGCUAUCGAUAGUAAGGGCUAUCAAUCAACAAAAUUUCAAAAGGGUUGCACUAAACAGUUACAUUCUGAAGUAAUAACAGAGCAAUAAAGUAUGAAAUUCAAAUCAGUCGGGGGUUACAAAUCAGUGUAGAAAAACAGUAAGGUACUAAGGCAAAGGGAAAUACAAUCAGCCGUGAAUAAUAUCCAGAGAGCAGUUUAGAGCAUUAAUAUUUUAAUUACGGUCAUCAUUAGCAAAUUGUAAAUAGCUCGACAGUUAUCACAUAGUCCUAAUCAGCAUUCAUAGGCAGUUAAAGUAUUGAAAUCAGAAAGCAAAAUUCAUGGGAUUUCAAAAGGGGCAGUUUCAGUCAGUAACUCAAAAGGUUUUUGCAUUGACUCAUACUCAGCUAUAAAUAGCAGCUCCAUUCAUAACCAGAGGAACAUUGAUACACACAUACAUUCAGCCAAAAAAGCAAAAGAGAAAGAAUACAAAAAAGAAAGAAAAGCAUUGCAAUAGUGAUAAAAAGAGAACAAAUCAGAAAAAUUAGAGAGGAUAACAAGUGAAAAACAGGGAGCAUUCUAUAGAGAAAGGCAGAAAUAUAAACAGAGAGAGUGACAUUCAAGCAAACUUAAUCCAAAAUAGACUUACGUUUCACAAGCAUUACAAAGUGGUAGAACCCGUAUCAUACGACAGGAAGCAUAUAUUCAGGUAACCAUUCAAACGAAAUAGGUAUCAUAACAUGUCUUAUUUUAGGUGAUUUAUGCAUCGAAGUUAUAGGAAUAAAUUAUAAACCGAUUUAAUCGGCCAUUUCGCAGAAACUCACAUAAGUAUAAUAGGCUAGAAUAUAAAAUAGAGCAUGAACGAAAUUGGUUUUAAUCUAUGUAUUUCCACCAGUUAAAGAGAUUUGUUUUAGUCCAUGUAUUCCCACCAGUUAAAGACCAAACACUCAUCGAUGUUGACAUAACAGAUUAAAUUCAUGCUCUAAAAUCAAAUAGAAAGGAUAAAAGAUCAAAGAGGGAUACCGAAGUAGAAAAAUGCGAUUUCCAUUCUCGAUGUCAUCUUGUUAUCCGAUGCAAACCGUAGUACGAGUAGUAACCAGAACCGGGAACCACCGUGAAGGUUCGGGUCCCGCCGAUGAAAACCGCACUCGAUCCUUUCCUCGCCCUUAAUAAGCCUCUACGAGGACAGGAAGUUAUAAAAAUGAUAAAAAAUGUAUAAUAAUAGAACAAAGAAGCAAAUGGAGAAGUAAGAGGAGACGAGUGAUGAAAACCAAAGAGAUUAGGAAGGAAUGAGGACCUUUUUUCGGCCGUGAAUGAGAACCGAACCACCGUAAGUCGCGAGGAUUCUUAAUCACCACUAUCGCAACGCUUCAAGCCGAGUCAUCACCGAAGAAGAGAAAAGAGGGAGAUUUCGUUCGAUGCAUCUCGAAGAGAAAGGGAUUCUCUUCGUCGAUCCCCUCCAACACGGGCUGGAAGGCUUCCUCUAGCUAAAUCCGUGA